AUAAAGUGUUCAAAUAUAGAUUUUGCUGUAAUAUUUUGCUUUGUGUUAUGUUUGGAUAACGAUUCUAGUUCGCACUGCCAUAUUAACAAGUAAAAAAGUGUCCAAAUCACUUAAUUUUUGAACCGUUUGUAUAUAGUUUUAUCAUUUAAAACAAACAAUUUUGUGUAUUUGUCAUAUAUCUCUUUAAAAUAUAUGCAACUUAGUCUGAUAUUCUAUUAAAUGUACGCGACGUUCGUGCGCUUUUAAUACUGUUUGAGGCCACUCUUUAAUAAGAAUGCAUUAUUUCUGCACACUAAACGCUUGGACCGAGACUUGGUUUGGGGGUGAAGAGUGGAGCUGUGGUCAGGGAGAGGUUAACUGGCUCGUGCGCUCUGGUGGCUGGGCAGGCGCGGAGCUGCGGCGCGCUGACGCGGGGAUGGAGAGCUCAGAUGCGCUGCUGCUCCGCCAGGAUCCCGCGGCCCGGGCCGACCUUUCCCUACUGCUUUCAACGCUCUUCUGCGCCGGAACUUUACAUCACGGACAGAAAGACACGCAGGGUCAUCCCCCAAGGGCGUUGAUCUGGGUCAGAUCAUUUAUCGCUGAUCACUCCACCCCACCUUUCCCAGCCUGUCAGUGACUGCGAUUGGAUGGGGGUUAAUUAGCAGGUUGGUGCUUCUGUAAUUGGCAGGCAUUCGUCUGAAUCUGGGAGUCUUUAAACCUGCAUUAUGUAUUAAUUAAACAGAUUUACUUGAGUUGUGUGGUUGGGUUGCCAAUACAUUGUUUUGUGGUUGCUUGGGUGAUGUAAGUGGUUGCUAAGUGACCAAAAAGUCAAAAAGGCCCAUCCCCAAGUCUCUAUAUUGGGGUCACUUAAGCCCAAACAGUUGACAGUAACCACUGAGUAUGGAAGUCAAUAGGUACCGUCAACUGUUUAGGCUCAAGUGUUUGUUUGCUGGCCCCAUGUCAAAAGAGACCAUGCCCAAGUCUCUGUGUGUUUACUAAGGGUUUCUAAAGUCCAAACAUUUGACGGUGGCCAUUGACUUCCAUAGAAUGGAAAAAAAUACUAUGCAAGUCAAUGGCUACCAUUGACUUCCAUAGAAUGGAAAAAUAAAUACUAUGCAAGUCAAAUGUUUGGACUUUAG
ensembl:lncRNA